rnacentral:lncRNA from 1 species
CCAAGAAAACGUUUGUCUCUAUUAAAGAUUAAUUAUUGGAAUUAAUUCUCUGGCAGGAAAGAAAUGGUACCGAGUCCCUCAUCAUCUCGGACAUGCCAAGUUUCUUGUGGGUCCUACAUCAAAUACAAAUUCGAGAAUCCUGUGCCUCAUUUUGAAGUCCAGCAUGCGCAAUAGUUUGAUAGCCAUCCGACAUCAAAAACGCAAACAUUACUUCUCACGAUGGAAUUCAUCAGCUGGGAGUGGAAGAAUGAGCUCAACUUUUAUUCCUACUUCUAUUCCUCCUUCCCUUCCUCACAUUCAUUGGCGUGUCCUCAGCCUCCGAUUUCGGAUA